rnacentral:misc_RNA from 1 species
GUGAAUCAUCGAAUCUUUGAACGCAAAUUGCGCUUCCUGGCAUCCCGGGAAGUAUGCCUGUUUGAGGGUCAGUAUUAAUAAAAAAUCGGUUUAGUUACAAAUUGUGACGUUUCCGGAGUUUGGGCUAUCUUAACAUUUUUGGCUAAGAGGCUUAAAAUUGACCUUUUUUGCGCAUUUUUAAACGUACAUAAAUUUUUUUUAUCCUUCUAUUCUUAUGUCAAAAUUUUAUUUAAAUCCG